rnacentral:lncRNA from 1 species
AUGGGUGACAGGUGACGGGUGACAGGUGAUGGGUGACAGGUGACGGGUGAUGGGUGACAGGUGAUGGGUGACAGGUGAUGGGUGACAGGUGACGGGUGAUGGGUGACAGGUGACAGGUGACAGGUGAUGAGUGACGGGUGACAGGUGACGGGUGACACUGGGGACAGUGCCACUGAAUGAGGGACAUGGGGGGUGUGGGUGACAGCCAGGUGUCCCCAGGUGUGUCUCCUGUACCCCCAGGUGUGUUUUUGCUGUCCCCAGGUGUCCCCAGGUGUCCCCAGGUGUAUCUCAGGUGUGUCUCAGGUGUGUCCCCAGGUGUCCCCAGGUGUAUCUCAGGUGUGUUUUUGGUGUCCCCAGGUGUCCCCAGGUGUAUCUCAGGUGUGUUUUUGCUGUCCCC